CGCGCAGGCGGCUCGUCAAGCCUGACGUGAAAGCCCCCGGCUCAACCGGGGAGGGUCGUCGGGGACUGGCGGGCUUGAGGUCGGCAGGGGCUGGUGGAAUUCCCGGUGUAGUGGUGAAAUGCGUAGAGAUCGGGAGGAACACCCGUGGCGAAGGCGGCCAGCUGGGCCGGACCUGACGCUGAGGCGCGAAGGCGUGGGGAGCGAACGGGAUUAGAUACCCCGGUAGUCCACGCAGUAAACGAUGCAGACUAGGCGUGGGGGGACUUGACCCCCUCCGUGCCGAAGCUAACGCGUGAAGUCUGCCGCCUGGGGAGUACGGCCGCAAGGCUAAA
rnacentral:rRNA from 1 species